rnacentral:lncRNA from 1 species
CAUUUUAAUUUUAUUGUGUUUGCUUAACUUACGUGUUAAAAUAAUGCGUGGUAAGCUGGCGUCGCAAACAGAACUAUUGUUUCAAAAGGCCAGUGAGCGGCGUCUUCGGGGCGAAAAUGACGCACGAAUCAGGAAAAGGAUCACCUGUCUUUUCAGAUCGAUUUCAAUGGUAGCGCAAUCGGCUCGAUGGCGAUCGCAAUUUUCGGUGUGACACGUAUACCGUUUUCCUCAAUUGCGUUGAAAGUGUAGAAUAAAACCGCAUUCAGUUGCCCAUUUCUAUUGACGCUUGUAGCAGCUUGAGAGCACACUUUAUCCGAUACGGCAAAAACUUCUGUUUGAAUACAGAACUGAACGUUCAAAAUAAUACCAGUGGUUCACUACGUGUGAUCGUAACUUUCUUGCUUGCAUGCAUGUUUUUAUUGUAGCGACAAAAAGAGUUCUGUGCUCUGGCUGCUCUGCUGUGUUUCGUUGGUACAAGUGCUUGUGGUGCAGCAAGACGUUUUGCUCCGAAUGAUGUCGGGGCAGUCAAGGCAUUCGUCUCAGUAAGCAAGCUGUAAAUGUAUCAGUUGCAGAAAAAUGUGGACCUACAAGAGAAGCGAAUGCAAUCAUCAUAGACUGUAUAUUGAGAAUAAUUCAGUUGUAUUACUAAAGCAGAGAGUAUAUAUUCAUGGAAAUCAGAUUGUAUUGUUACUUAGCAGGAACUAGGUAACUUAUCAUUACUAAUUAAUCAUUUUCUUUUAUUGAAAAACUAGUUGCUGUUGUCCUGCUGGAGCUGAGAAGAGGUCUGCUGCCUGCAAUGGGUCCAUCUCUGUAAAGUUAUUGCAGUGUUGUUGCUCUCAAAGUUCAAAAAAGGAAGGUGUGAGCUGUUGCUAAGGUUCCGACCAGAAAGCAAAGCCAGUAUAAAAGGGUCCACACCACUGAUCUUUACUACAGGGAGAGAAUAACACAUCGAACCCCCUCAACUGAAGCCAACCUUCUCCCAGAAGUUAGCGCUUCACAACUUUGCAGCAGCACUUCAUCUGCACGGCGGCAAGGUUAUUCUUGCAAGGUGCUGGGGUUCAAGAGCAACUUUCACCAGGAAAGAGUGGAAGCCAAGUGAUUGAAGAAAAUAAAGUUGCUUCUAUGAUCUAUACAACAUGAGGACUGAAAUUUUGCGCUUUUUUGUAUAUAUGCUGCGCAAUGCAUUCAUAUCACAAAGUGCAA